rnacentral:rRNA from 1 species
AACGAACGCUGGCGGCAUGCCUAACACAUGCAAGUCGAACGAGACCUUCGGGUCUAGUGGCGCACGGGUGCGUAACGCGUGGGAACCUGCCCUUAGGUUCGGAAUAACUCCCCGAAAGGGGUGCUAAUACCGGAUAAUGUCUUCGGACCAAAGAUUUAUCGCCUUUGGAUGGGCCCGCGUUGGAUUAGCUAGUUGGUAGGGUAAAAGCCUACCAAGGCGACGAUCCAUAGCUGGUCUGAGAGGAUGAUCAGCCACACUGGGACUGAGACACGGCCCAGACUCCUACGGGAGGCAGCAGUGGGGAAUAUUGGACAAUGGGCGAAAGCCUGAUCCAGCGAUGCCGCGUGAGUGAUGAAGGCCUUAGGGUUGUAAAGCUCUUUUACCCGGGAUGAUAAUGACAGUACCGGGAGAAUAAGCUCCGGCUAACUCCGU